UGCCUGUCCACUCUAAUUCGCGUAAAGUUGCAUUAAAGCUUACGUCGCUUCGCUUGUGGACUAGAAAAAUUCUUUUUGUAAAAUCCUAGCAUUUGAAUAAUUUUAUAUUCCUAUGCUUCUCCAAAUACAAAAACAAAU